GUUAUUUUUCUCUUCAGGGCAUAUGGUGAAAUGAAAAUAUACAGAAAAGAUUAGCAUGGCCCCUGCACUAUGACAUGCCUCUUUUUCCUUAUAUUC
rnacentral:snRNA from 1 species